ensembl:lncRNA
CAUUAGUCUAACAUGACUUCCUUAUAAGACGCUAAAAUUAAAGUAUGGCGUUUGAGGGAGCUGGAUGAGCAGACCUUUACACACGAGCAUAAAGUCAUCACAGCUGACUCUGGACGGGAUGUCACUGUGCCAUGUCAAGCUCCAAACGACAACAACAACUUAGUUGUCGUUUGGGGCAGAGCUGACCUGAAGUCAGAAUAUGUCCUUUUAUACCAGGAUGAGUUGAUUGUUCCAGACAACCAGCAUCCAUCUUUUGUGAACCGGACAGAUCUGCAGGACAGACAGAUGAAGGAUGGAGACGUGUCUUUGAUUCUGAAGAGUGUGAAUACUGAUGACACUGGAAUGUACGAGUGUUAUGUCAUCCGGGGAUUCAGAAAACGUCACACAGGAGGAGACACAGAGGAUGG